rnacentral:rRNA from 1 species
CAGCCGCCACGGUAAUACGUAGGGUGCGAGCGUUAAUCGGAAUUACUGGGCGUAAAGCGUGCGCAGGCGGUUGUGUAAGACAGGUGUGAAAUCCCCGGGCUUAACCUGGGAACUGCGCUUGUGACUGCACAGCUAGAGUAUGGCAGAAGGGGGUGGAAUUCCACGUGUAGCAGUGAAAUGCGUAGAGAUGUGGAGGAACACCGAUGGCGAAGGCAGCCCCCUGGGCCAAUACUGACGCUCAUGCACGAAAGCGUGGGGAGCAAACAGGAUUAGAUACCCGCGUAGUCCCUGUCUCUUAUAU